rnacentral:lncRNA from 1 species
AGGACAGGGAAAGGUAGGACUUCCCGGCUCCCGCCUGCUUCAGUGAAGGGGCUGGGCGGGGUUCGUCUGUGCCGAGCUGUGAUAAGGGCCAGGCGGGCCCAGCCUCAGCCCUCAGGGAUGCGUGGUGGGGGACAUGCAGGCCCUUACCCCUCGACCCCGCCCCCCACAAGGCACCCGCAGGGGAUCUGGCCUCUGACCUCACAGUCCAUGGCCUGGGCAGCGCGGCAGCUCCGACUCACUCCUGGUUCACAGUGUCCCAGUGGCGACCUGGAAAGGGACACACAGAGUGGGCGGCUGCUCCUGGGAAGCCCUGGUCAGGACCCCUCGGGAGGACGACGAAGCUGGCCUGUGCUCCAGAAAUGGCAGCUGAGCCGAGGUCCUGGCCUGAGCAGCGCAUCCUGAGUUUCUUUCUCCUUGGCCGGAGCCAAGCUUUGUUUUCCUCAUUCCAGAUACUCACCCAGGCGCUCAGUGCCCUGGGGCCGACCCCGCACCUGAAUUCAGCCCUCUCAUGCCGCCCCAGGAAGACCUCAGGCAUCAGGGAAACCGGGCCGUGGGCUCAACAAAUUAUUUUAUUAUCAUAAAAUGUAAAAUGUUUAUAAAGAGAGAGAAUGGAUUUGACAAUUAAAAAAUUAAAUCUUCCGGCUGGACGCAGUAGCUCAUGCCUGUAAUCCCAGCACUUUGGGAGGCCGAGGCAGGAGGAUCACUUGAGGUCAGUUCAAGACCAGCCUGGCCACGUGGUGAAAUCCCGUCUCUAUUAAAAAUAGAAAAAAUUAGGCCCGGCACGGUGGCUCACGCCUGUAAUCCCAGCACUUUGGGAGGCCGAGGCGGGUGGAUCAUGAGGUCAGGAGAUCGAGACCACCCUGGCUAAUAACGGUGAAACCCUGUCUCUACUAGGAGAAUAGCGUGAACUUGGGAGGCAGAGGUUGCAGUACGCCGAGAUCACGCCAAUGCACUCCAGCCUGGGCGACAGAGCGAGACUCCAUCUCAAAAAGAAUGACCAGUCUGGCCAACAUGGUGAAACCCCAUCUCUACAAAAAUACAAAAUUAGCCAGGUGUGGUGAUGCAAGCCCUGUAGGCCCAGCUACUUGGGGGGCUGAAGCAGGAGGAUCACUUACACCCAGGAGGUGGAGGCUGCAGUG